UAUGAUACCUGGCAGAGGAGAAAAAAUAAUCACCUAGGUGUUUUUCCCAACGUGAGCUAAUCCCUUAUACUCUGAAUGUGCUGAUUCCUGUGAAUUCCCAUGUUGGGAAACUCGAGGGCAUAGUUUUUGGUAAGUGGGGCAUGGAGUCGCGCUUCCCUUGU
rnacentral:snRNA from 1 species